GGGGUUGUGGCUCAGUGGUAGAGCACUUGCCUCUCAGGCAUGAGGCCCUGGGUUCGAUCCUCAGCACCACA
rnacentral:tRNA from 1 species